rnacentral:rRNA from 1 species
GACGAACGCUGGCGGCGCGCUUAACACAUGCAAGUCGAGCGAUAACCAUGGCUUCGGCCAUGGGGAGAGCGGCGAACGGGUGAGUAACACGUGAGUAAUCUGCCCUCGACACUGGGAUAGCCCGGGGAAACCCGGAUUAAUACCGGAUAGCCUCUCGAGCUUCCGGGCUCGUGAGAAAAGAUGGCUUCGGCUUUCGGUUGAGGAGGAGCUUGCGGCGGAUUAGCUUGUUGGUGAGGAACGGCCCACCAAGGCGACGAUCCGUAGCUGGUCUGAGAGGACGAUCAGCCACACUGGGACGUGAGACACGGCCCACGACUCCUACGGGAGGCAGCAGUGGGGAAGUCUUGCGCAAUGGGCGAAAGACCUGAUGCAGCGACGCCGCGUGAGGGAUGACGGCC